GCCCCUGUGGCGCAAUCGGUAGCGCGUAAGACUUCUAUUUGGUCAUCUUAAGGCUGUGGGUUCGAGCCCCACCAGGGGCU
rnacentral:tRNA from 1 species